UCAACAUCUUUGGUAAUGUGUAGUAAUGCAUUUUUAGUGUCUUCUCCUUCCAUGAGAGCCUCUACCUGCUCAGAAGUUGCUCCAGAUGAUGUUUCUACCCUGUUAUGUUGUUCAAGAGUUGUUGCAGAUGAUGUUUCUUCCCUUUUUUGUUGUUCAAGUGCUCCUGCAAAUAAUGUUUCAGGUUGUAGAAUCUGUCCAAAUGACUUUACGACCCAAUCUUUUAUUGAUAUCCUCUCCCCUUCACUCCAUUUUGUAGCAUUUAAAUCCUUGGAAUUAUCACCUGUUGUAUGUGAUCUCUUGCAUUAUCAUCCUCCUCUUGGACAAGGCCAUCAAACUUAUUCUUAAUUGGUAUGGUGGUGUGAUUGUUAAUAUGUCGUUUAUCAUUUACCACAUUCCAUUGACUAGGGUCUCCAACUACUCUACCGCUAGAGAGAAUUCUAGCCUUUCCUUUUUGAAAUUUAUGCACUUGUGGGAGAUAAGGAAGAAUAGUUUCCUAUGACCUUUUCUCACCACCAUGUUCAUUAUUGUAUUGUUGUGCUUUAUUUUCUUCCUUAUGCUUUGAUACCUUACUCAUUCGAUACUCUUCCAUACUGUUCCCUGCAUCUUACAUUCCCAACAAUACUUGGGGACAUCGUCGUAUUUGAUAGAAACCAUGUUAGCUCUUACCUCCCAGUAGCUUCAUUCACAAUGUUCAUCUGUAUUGCCUUAGGAAAAUCUUUCUUUAGAUCUAUUAGCACCUUUACACGAGCACAACUAGGUCUAGACUUAUUAAUUGUAGCCUGAUCUAGUUGUAAAGGUUUGCCCAUAGCUGCAGCUAAAGAGAAUAAACAUUCUUUCACAAAAAGGUAGGCAAAAGGUUAG